rnacentral:lncRNA from 1 species
CCGGAGUAUUUAUCGACCCCCAGGCAAGCCAACCUCUUAUCAUGAGCCCCGAACUUGCAUGUUGACUUUGCUUGCACCUUGUGCGUGUGUAGUUGCAGUUGUUUCAUAAAGUUUUCAUCUGCAGUUAUUCCGUUAUGCUGUCUUGCAUGCUUGUGUUUUCAUGAUAUCUUUUGCCAUGCUAAUUAGAAUGUUAUUAUUAAUAAUGCCAUGUUACUACUCUACUUUACUUACAUGUCAUCAUUAUAAAAUGAUAUGAGGAUUGUAAUGCACCGUUGAUAUGCUAUUGUCAUGUUCUUUAUGUUAUAGUUGUGCACUUGAGGAGUUCGAUAUUUUCCCAUGCAUUUGUAUGCUGCAUGCUCAUUGUUGCAUCCAUGUUAAAUAUGUUCAUGAUGAUGGAGAAGGAAAUAAAAUGACUUAAUAAUAACAAACCUCCUCCGUCAUUGAUGGGAUCGAGUCAUAGUGCCGCCAAAUCGAACUUUUUCAGUGCAACCACAUUUGCCUUUGUGGGAAGGCCUUAAUGCGAGCUAUUGUCGUGACCUCUCGUCGGUGCCUCCAACUAGGGAAGGUUAUGGGCAUGCUUACACUAAUCAGGUAGGUAGACAUAACUUUGUGUGCUCGUUGAUGAGAUUAUGGUACCGAGUCCCCGAGUGGGAGUGUCCCCGAGUGGGAGUGUUUUGACCACGACGGUGGUCGGGGUGUCUUUGGUAGACACGGGGCCACCCAGGACCAGCCCAUUGGGGAUUUGGGUCGGAGUGGCCGGGAGAGUGUCAUGGUAGUAGAUCGGUUUCGUCGGAAUGCCAUUGGUCCACCCGAAUGAGAUGACAAGGCUAUGGGUUCCGUGGUGUGGGUACAGUGUGCUACCUCUGCAGAGUGUAUAAAGUCUAUCGAUAGCAACAGUUCGUAGUAGGUCCCACUAUCAGGUCUUGGUCAAAAUGGAGGAUAAACCGAAGUAAUUAAGUUGACAAAUAAAUAUGUGAUAACAAAAAUAUGGUGACUUGGACUAUGAUAUAGUCGUGAGAAGUCACAGUGAUGUUUUGGUGGUGAUCACCGAAAGGAUCACGGUUUGAGGCCAAGUUUUGGUCGUGGUGGUGAUCGCCGUAAGGAUCACGAGUUACUCUGGUCAAGACCACGAUGGUGGUUUGGUGGUGAUCGCCGUAAGGAUCACGAGUUAUUCUGGUCAUGGUUGUGAUCACCGGAAAGAUCAUUGUUCGGUUGCGAGGCAACCCGAUGAUAAGAGAGUCCGAGGGACUCGGUGUACAAGUUUGCGUACAUUGCAUGAGUAAUAUAUCAUUAUUUGCAUUUAAAGAACCAUGAUAGAACAGAAGGUGAUUGCAUAAAGUUAAUAUGCUAUGUCUGCAUUGGAUAUUAUUGGUAGUUUACUUUCAACAUAGCUUCAUGAUGCCUUUAUGCCAUGUUAGAAGCAUGUUUGGAUAUGCCAUGUUAUUGCCAUGUUAGCAGAUGCUAUGAUUUUGUUCAUGAUUAGUUGAUUUUUAUCAUGCCAUGUUUAGUAAUUGAUAUGAGAUAGGUUGUUCCAUGCGCUCAUUUCUUGCUAGUCUUCUGCUUGUUUGGAUGCUAUGUAUUUGGUUGUCUUGCAAGUACAUUCAAAGUACUGACCUGGCGUGUCAUGCCAGUUUUGUAGGUCAUACCCGUAUUGUUCGCUUGAUCCGUCGUGCUAGGCCGUAACCUUGCCAGUCCUGUGAGUUGUGGAGCCUAGCCAGAGUUGUUAUGCUGCCAAACCAAGACUUCCGCUGCCAUUAAAUCAGACUUCCGCUGUCAUUUAAUAGCCUUAGGGCUAGGCCAGAUAAUUGUAUUCAUCAAUGAUGUAAUCUCAUAUACAUGUAUUUGAUGAAUAUUCUUGUACCUGGAAUGCUGUAUUAUGGACCUGUCGUCCGUCAGGUGUUAUCCUGGGCUAACGUGCGAAGGCCCCCUGCUCCAUGCAGAUCGGGGUGCCACAGGGCAUGGUAUCAGAGCAGCCAGGCUGGCAUAGGUUAUCCUAGCAUUAGAUCACUGCUUCCAUUAAACCGUAAUUACCCUAAGGGAUUUGACUCAUCCCUGCUGUCGGUGUCAAAAUCGGCGGAUCUCGGGUAGGGGGUCCCGAACUAUGCGUCUAGGCCGGAUGGUAACAGGAGGCAAGGAACACGAUGUUUUACCCAGGUUCGGGCCCUCUUGAUGGAGGUAAAACCCUACGUCCUGCUUGAUUAAUAUUGAUGAUAUGGGUAGUACAAGAGUAGAUCUACCACGAGAUCAAGGAGGCUAAACCCUAGAAGCUAGCCUAUGGUAUGAUUGUUGUAUAUGGAGUUGUGUAUUCUAUCAACUAGCCUGGCCCUGGUUUAUAUAAUGCACCAGAGGCCUAGGUUAACAAGAGUCCUAGCCGAAUACGCCGGUGGGGAGAAGUCCUUGUCUUGAUCGCCAAGUGUUGUGGAAUCUUCCUUGUAUGCGGCAGUUGUCCCAACUGGCCCAUGAGUAUACGGCCACGGGGGUCCUUGGCCCAAUCUAUCAGAUCGGGAGAUGACGUGUUGAGUACCCCCUAGUCCAGGACACUGUCAGUAGCCCCCUGAACCGGUCUUCAAGUUAGGGACGCUCCUUGAUUCUUCCGAGCUGUUUUGCAUCUUCGGUCGUCGGUCUUGAAAACUGGUUCAACAAAUCUUUUUUAUCUUCGAUCUUGAGGAUCGCCGAAAUGCAUUCGACGGGUUUACACGUCGGGUAUCCGAGGAGCCCCUUUAAGUUUCCGGCCUUUAUCAAUGCCUUAUUAUUUUUAUGCCACACCUCGGGUUUGAAGUAGUUCCCGGGAGGCAGUGUCCUCUUGCGUCUGAGCUCUAACGCCGGACUGUAUUCGAGGUAUCUUUUGCAGCCGAGCACCAAUGCCGGACCGCUUCCCAGCUCUAACGCCGGAAUGUAUCCGAGCUCCAACACCGGACUAUGUAUCCGAGCUCCAACGCCGGACUAUAUCCGAGGUUUCAUAUCACCUUGGUUCAAAAAAGUUGAAGGAGUUUAGCCGAGCUUAAUGCCGGAAAUGCCCUCUACGGAGACAGCCACUAGCGCCCGAUCUUUAUGCCGGACUGCUUCCGAGGUGGUGCACCACCCCGAAUGUGGGCCGAUUUUUGUGAAUAUUUUUUGUUGGUGCAAUUUAUUCUCUGCCGAGAUAUAUAGCCAGUAGCCCUCAAGGUGUGUAUCGGUCUAAAACCCGAGAUGCACCUGAAGGAUGACGUAAGACCGCUGAUCCUAGUAGCCGCUGAGACUCAGGUUGAUUUGCAAAAUCGGCCUGAGGAUCAAGUCCAAGCUCGGCAGAAUACUUCGGGACACUAAAAGCGGCGUGCUCAGUCCUCGAGACUCAGGUUGGGUGCGGCCGACCAACCUGAGGAUCAAAAUCUCCUCGGAAACUAUAUUGCACAUACAAUUUUCUGCAUUGGACAAGCAAUGCAGUAGCCCCCGAGACACUGGUCGGGUGGCAACACCAGAUCAGGGGAUCGAUGUGCCCCUUUAAUAUUGUAAACAAUAAGCCCGAAGCCCAGUAGCCCCCGAGCCUUAAUGCGGGCACGGGUGGCCGAAUUAAGGAUCAAUAUCCAUAGUAAAAUCACAAAUUAUGUGUAAUGACUCUAUGUAUCCAAGUACUUUACGUUAUUAAUGCUCGGAUCCGCAUUGUACAAAACUUUGUUAACUGACCAUCGGCUUCCACCUCCUCGGCCAGUAGCCGAGGAGUGUUUGUCCUACUUUAUAAAGCCUUUAUGAGGGCAAAGAUUUACAACAAACAAGGCAAUCUGGCCAUACGGUUUUAUAAACAAAGGUACGCAGAGAGUUAUAUUACUGUUUAACAGAAGAAAUGUCUUCCAAAGAAAAUAGUCCCGCUAUCGGUUCCUUUCUUUGGGUUGUCAUGCUAAGCAUGAUCAUUAAACCUCGGCUCUAAUGUAAGAGCAAAAUAUUGAGGAUUUAGUUUGGGAGGCCAGUUAAUAGCCCCCGGUAGUGUUCGGCGACAGUCGGGGUCAAGCCGUAAACACUUCGGCCAAUGUUAUGAACGGCCCAUCAUUUAACAUAGUCAUCGGUUCGCUGACCAGUUUACGCUUAUUGUGAAAGUCAGUUUUCGGCUUUCUCCACUGAGGUGCUUAACCAUGUGAGCUGGAAGCACAAUCGCAGUGGUUCUCCCUUUGCACGCCUAGCCGAAAAAACGGAACGUAGGAAGCAAGUGCAGGAGCCGGGCAACCCAACUAUUGACCGAAGACACAAUUUGAAACCGAUGCAUAUAUAGCAAUAUCUGAGAAUGUUUUUGCCGAAUCCCUAAAGGUGUCCGGCGUUGCACUGCGAGACUAAUGCUGGAAAAGCACAAAUAGUUUAAAAGUGCCAAAAAGCUUGGAAAACCAAGAAACGUCAGUAAAAACAUGACGCCCGAACAAUAUCAAGUGUUCGGUGCCAAUCCGAAAGUUGGUCUUAGAAAAAAGAAGUGCUUCUGUCGUGCUUUAACAUGAUACAUCCUAUCUCAAGACUUCGAGCGGGUCAGCCUACGGCUUCAACCUCCUAUCCCGAGGGCGGAGUACUUCUCAUCAGGCCAGUUUAGCAAACUAAACUCUAGCGGCUUUGAGAGAGAAAUUAGGCUCCCCGGCUAGUGACCGCACACUCGUGUCGAAAAAAGGAGUGAUAAAUAAUAAUAAAACUUUGCAACGACUAAGAAGAAGAACACUUAUUAUAAAAUGGCUCAAAUAAACUUAAGAGCCCCCAAGUGACUUGGGUAGUAGAAUGAUUGCAUGUACUGAAGCACUUAUAUCAUAUCUAUGUUCAACCGAACUUUAAACGCGUCUUAACCGACCGUCAACUUCUCCCUCUUCGGCCAAGGACCGAAAAGUGUUAUGUACUCCAUCGGUCGAGAAUAUCGACGGUGUUUCCAAUAACCAGGCAAUCAAGCCAUAAGGCUGUAACAGACAAAGCGCGCUCAGGGAACUUAUGCUAUAUUACCGUGAAGUGUAAGAAGCAUCUUCAAAGAAAAUAGUACCCCCACCGAUACCUUUCUUCGGUGCUCAUUGUUAUUAUGAGACUUGUGCAAUAGAUUUUUUGUACUCAUGAGUUCCGUUGUGUGUCGACCAUCAUUGAAAACUAUAAGAGCGCUACCUUUCGGCUUCACCCAGUCUGAGGUCCGGCUCGGCUGACCCGAUCAUGACAAUCGCAGAGGUGCUCCCUUUACUCCCUAGCCAAACAAUCGGGAACGUAGGGGUAAACACAGGAGUGAGGCAACCCAGCUUGCAAAUCACUUAAGUCAAUAUGGUGCAUAUUGUGGCGUAAUACACGAACAAGGAACCAAGCCGUACAAGUAUAAUCAUAUGCAACAGGAAAAAGCUUCAUAAAGGAAGCCCCCAAGUAAACGGGGUAUUUGAAUUUAUGCGUCACAAACAAAGUUUGGACAAGGAAUUUUUUUACAAGCAACUUUUUUCCAAAAAAGUAUAAUGCUUGGUCGAACCGAGCACAAGUUAGAAAUUAAAGCUUUGAGCAUGAAAGUGACUUAGCUGGUUAAUGUGUUCGGUAUUGAUGACGCGGUCCGAGCUUGAUGCGGGGCAAGGUUCCAUCCCCCAAGCCGGUCCCGAGUUGGCGGAGCGGAGAGCUCGACACGCCGAAGUGGUGACAUAGCACGGUCAAUGCAGACCGGCAGAGUGACGCCGAAGUCCCCGGAUCAUUUUCCUGUGCACAAAAAAUAGUGCAAACCGGAGAUAACAGUAAUAAUGAUAAUUAAAAAAAAGUUGCAUAAUAAAUAAUUUAUGCAAAGUGAGGAAUAGAAGAAAUAUGGCCUGGCGCCAAAGUCAAUGUCGAUGCAGGGCGUCGACGUGAUGUAGUAGAGGCAUGGCAAAGCCUGAAUUCACAGGUCGGUCCGAGCUCCGGGUGCGACGUUCGCCGGACUAUGUACGGAAACUGAUCGAACCACCACACGACCGUCGUUAGUGUGGUCACCAUUUGAUAGACCUGUGUACAUAUCAUGGAUAAACCAGAGUAAUAAUUCCUUGGGAAAAAUGAACCCAAACAAGCAAAAAAUACUGGGAUUAAUAGCACCUGGUUUAUUUGUUGUAGCAAUCCGAAGGAAGGUGAUUCCCAAAAUUGGGACUCGCUCCGCACACCCAUUGCCUGAUGGGCGAUAAAACGAUGGCAUGGCAAUGCUGGUAAAGGUUGACUCGCCGAGGCAAAGCCCUCGGCCCAGCUAACGUGAUGGAGCUGGUCGGCUAGUGACGCCGAAGCGUCCGGAGUAGGUUGAUGAAGAGAUGGCGAAGCCCCCGGUCCAGCCGAGAUGUCGAAGCCUCGACGUCAGUCGAUGAGUCGAAGUAGGUCGGCGUGAUGGACACCAGCUUGAAGAAGCAAUAGUGCGGCCCUGUCGAUGCAGGUCGUGACGUGGUCGAUGCCGGCUUGAUGAAGCAACCGUGCGGCGAUGCCGGUAUGCCCGCUCCGUGUAAUCCGUGGGGCGGCGAUAUUGAUGAUGAUUUAUCCUUUGCGAUGCCGGACUCUUGUUCGGCUUGCCGAGAUGAUGAUCCGAAGAAGUUGAGCUCGGCUAAAGUGACGACGUGUCUAGCGCAGGUCGGCAGCCGUGGAGUAAUAUUGCCGGACUGGUUUGACACCAGCAUGAUGUUGAAGAUCAUGUUCAAAAGAUUUUAAAGUUAGUGGGAUGUGUUCGAGAACAAAACACAAUACCCCAUACAAAACUACCUUCAAAAGGGAUGUCCGAAAUCCCGUUCAUAAAAAAGAUGAACUCGGGUCGGAUUCGUUUUCGUGCAGAAAACAGAUCUGAAAAGUGAUGCACUAAUCGGAAGGUUCUCGGAGUUUGUACGGUCGGAUCGAGCUGAAAUUUUGAGAGGUGGUAGAUAUAGGAAUUCCGCAGCCGAUCAACGGUUGGAUGUUCCAAAGGACGUCCGAGGUAGAAUCUGGAUACCACGCCCUAAACUCAUCCAAAUUCCCAUCCAGAUUUGACAGGGCUCCGGUAUAUCGUGGAUUGCCAGAGAUUCCUCCACCGGAACUCGACGAAAUUUUCCAGGGUUGUUAUAGACUCAAUUCCGCACAAUUCCACCAAGGCGAUCGUCAAAGCGAUACUCGAGGAGGUGGUGGCGGCAGAUACGAGUUCGCUGUCCAAAAAAACAGCACGGUCGCUUGAGGGCAAUGUUGACAUUGAGCCCCCGAGCUCCAUAGAUAAUUCCUCCGUGAUCUUGAUAGAGAUCGGAGUUGAUGUUUGAUGAAGGCCCUCGUCCGAACAUGGUGAUCCGAACACGGGGCACAAUUCUUGGUCGAACCAAGGUGACCAGUCAAACUGGUGAUGAGGAUGCCGAAGUCGCAGUUGAUCUGCAAGCGAGCCAUCGAUUCUUUUCUCGAUCACACAGCGGAACUCUCAAUGAAAGCAUCAAUGUCGGUGUCAAAACCGGCGGAUCUCGUGUAGGGGGUCCCGAACUGUGCGUCUAGGCUGGAUGGUAACAGGAGGCAAGGAACACGAUGUUUUACUCAGGUUCGGGCCCUCUUGAUGGAGGUAAAACCCUACGUCCUGCUUGAUUAAUAUUGAUGAUAUGGGUAGUACAAGAGUAGAUCUACCACGAGAUCAAGGAGGCUAAACCCUAGAAGCUAGCCUAUGGUAUGAUUGUUGUAUAUGGAGUUGUGUAUUCUAUCGACUAGCCUGGUCCUGGUUUAUAUAAUGCACCAGAGGCCUAGGUUAACAAGAGUCCUAGCCGAAUACGCCGGUGGGGAGAAGUCCUUGUCUUGAUCGCCAAGUCUUGUGGAAUCUUCCUUGUAUGCAGCAGUUGUCCGAACUGGCCCAUGAGUAUACGGCCACGGGGGUCCUCGGCCCAAUCUAUCAGAUCGGGAGAUGACGUGUUGAGUACCCCCUAGUCCAGGACACCGUCACCUUCAUCCGGCAUGGCCACUGUUAAUCCACAGGUGGCGCACUCGGGACUGACACGUCCUCACCCCGCUGUCCCCGCCUAGUUAUCUGUGGAGCAAGUAGCAACCACAUCCUUUCUGGUCUGCCACACCGCUUGCCCUUCGCCAUUAAAGGAAAGGGUCCACACCAUGCGGGCAUGUCCCGCAUAGCUACCUAUAAAAGCCCCCUUUCCGCUAGCCGUAUCGCUCACUUCUCAUUCAGCCAUGUCCCUGCAGAGAAGCCUAGCUAGUAACACUCCAGUCAUGGCUAGCACCCUCAAAACUACUAAGUUCCACAGCCGCACAAGCGCCAUCAACCAUCCUGGUUUCCCACCCCUUCUUGCCGAGAUGCUCACCCAAGCCUUUGGCUAUGAUGCUAGCCCCGACUACCUGGUGUUCCAGUCAACCCUCGUUCCUCACCUUCAUCGCUAUGAUGCAAGGGUGCACAUCAGCCCUGGUCCCGUAGUAGAUGGCCAGCCGUUGGUUUUUCAGGGUAGAGCCAUGCCUACCACCGAUUUGGCCAUCCAGGCCACUGCUGUGGAGGCAAUCCUAUACCUCCGAACCAAGUUCCCGCAAGUGGCAGAUCAAAGGGAGUUCUGUUUCUUCCCCAUUGUUACAGCGACAGGAAUUCAACCAUCCCCCUCUAUCCAAGGGAAUGACCCCGCAAUCGCUCGCCUGGUGCAGUAUAUCACUGCCCAGGGAAUGAUGAUUUCGAGGAUGCUUGCCGAAUUCAGAACCUUGGACAACGAUGUGGUGCGAGUUGUCAAGGAAGCUUACCGUGAGGCUCGUAAGUUCGCAUCUCAAGUGGCUCACCCAACGCUAUCCGAGCCAGUGCUACCCUCUCAGCCGGUGUUGUGGCCUCGGCCAAACAUCAUCACUCUCGACAAGACUCUUUUCUGGAUCCACCAACAUCAUAUGCUUGGAUCAAUUUCAGCCACACCCCUGGUAGCCGAACCCCAACCCAUAGUGAUCUCGGAUGAUGAAGAUGGAGAUUGGCUCAGUCUUCGUCCUCCUGGAGAGCCCCAGCAAAGCAAGCCCUCAGCUUGAUCUUAGCCGCGCAACCAGUUGUUUCUGCUAGUAGGUCAGUCUGUCAGUUCAUUCCCGAUAUGAGGAUAGAACCCUGUAUCCCGAAGUGAGUAGUUUCGUUUAGUGCGUAGAGUGCUCGUGCUUGGUUGUAUGCUUGCACUGUUGUAACUCGUAUGGUGUGUUUAUGCUUGCUUUCUUGCUUUUGGAUUGUUGUCUCUCUGUCAAACAGAGAUGUUUGACAGGGUUGGCAAUGUGAGUUAACAAGAUUUUAGUCAGUAGAGCACAUACACUAAACACAACAUUUACUCGUCCCGAGUCUUUUAAUAAAAUGUGCGCUGGUUUAGGUAUAUAUAUGCCAGGAUUAUAUAUAUAUACCCACUAGCAUUAAAACGCUUUAGAAUGAGUUGUCUGCUGUGUUUUUGGUUGCAUGAUUUUAUCGCUGUCUGUUUGUUAGUGUAGAUUACUGCAUAACACACGCAUACCCGGUUCACCCACGAGUACCUUUGGGCAGUACUCGGGGGGAUGCAAAGUCACAUAUCCCUAUCUAUCUGUGCAUACCCCGUGUGUCAGAUUUUCAAAUCCAGAACCCCGCAGAGGCAUUUCCGCCUGGAAAUUCCUCGUCUCUAAUUCUUUCUUCCAGUUUCAUUUCUGGGGGAAACACUACCCACCUUAUUUCAUUCGAACCAGUACAACUACCCUGAUUUAAACUCCGAUUCUACCUCGACACCUACAUUUCGUGGAGCUAUCCGCAUAAUUUUUCCAUACUCCGUGUGAUUCUUGAGCUGGAGCAACCACCUCACAUGCAUCUGGACCCCACCACCACCACGGCAGCACGCGAUUACUCCGCCGGCGCAAAGCGAUGGAGAAUCAAUUGUGGCGAAGGACCACCCAGUGCGCCAUCUUCUCCCGCGUCUUGAGCCACCGCACCCAGCAGCGCAUUGUUCCGAGCUCGCUCAUUCCUGGUGAGAAUCAGCAGGAGGAGUGACGAGCCGAUCAGCGUGCCCAGCAGCGCUGCAAGGAACAACCGCAGCGCCACCAGGAACACCUCCUCGCCGAAGGAGCUCGGCUCGAUCUCGCCCAAACCAAAGAGGUAGUAGAGCGGCAUUGUGUUUGUGUGUUGGAGGAGAGCCGCGCUGCCGUUUUUAUAGUACAACCCCGGUGUACGGUGAGCGACAUCCAGGAGAACUGCUCGUUGCUCGAUCACUAGCAUCCAGGAGGCAAAUCCGUGAGCAGUGCCGACAAGGUGCUGGCCCACGAAGUGAGUGCUCGCUGCACUGGCGCCGUGCACGCCGCGCACUACGACACUAGGGUCCUCAUCGCCCUAGAAGCUAGAUGCGCGCUGCGCUACAUCGCACGUGGAGCAGCAACGAAGAAGAAGCAGCAAGCUGGAGGUAGAAGAAGGAGGUUGCCAGUGGGCCCUGGGCCCACGUGUCAGUAGGUGAAACCACUGUUCAUUGGGUGCACCUAGCAUUUUUCGGGAGUCUGAUCUCGAGUGCCCCUAGCCGUGGAGGUAACCCUGUUUUGCUCAUAUAUCCCUUCCCGGGUGUACCAAUUAUCGGUGCCCCUAUCUUGCUUGAAUUUAACCAAAGGGUUAAAAUUAACCCAGAGGUUAUUUUUUUAUUUGUGCUGUAACCCUAGCAAUCUCAAGGACGAGAUUCUUUUUAAGGGGGGAAGAGUUGUAACAACCCCAAAAUUGGGUUAUCAAUUUUUGUGCUGUUAUUCUCCCCUGGCACUCAUUUUCAAAAUUUUCUCCUGAGUUUGCUGGAUGACUUUGAGAAAUUUUGUCAUUUUCAAUCUUACAAAAUCUUGCUCAUGUCUUUUUCAGUGGGCAAGACCUCAUUUGCAUCAUCCCAAACCCUCUCAAACCCUAAUUCCAAAAUUUUGGAAUUUGAAUGUGCCCUUUGUGAUUACAAACGAGCUAUCAUUUCCUUUGAUCUGUUGAUCCUCCCAAUUGUUCCCAGAGAUCCUCCUAACUUUCUAAACCUUGGAUAUGCAAAAAUAUUGCUAAGUCCAAUGCAAUAUUUUUGAAUUAUGAUUCCUUUUCUUGCCUUUUUGAGGAAUAAAAUCCAAAGGCAUAGCUAGCCAUCUCCUAAAUUCAUGAGAAUUGGUGGAGUUGAUACUUAUGCCUAAUCCAAGCUGUGACAAGUAUAUUGGCCAUAAUUAAAUAAGGAAAAUUUCCUUUUCCUAUUUAAUGCCAAUAUUGCAUUUCUGCCAUUUUCCAAAGGAACUACUAUUUUUAUAGCAGGGAAAAUUCCCACAUAAAUUGUGGAGCUUGUCCUUGCUAUAUAUUAACUAGUUACAUCCUAAUCUCAUGUUCCUCAGUUCAAAAAUUUGGCACAUGAUCCAAUGCAAGUUUCUGCCUUCUCUUAAAUUUUGCAAAGGAAGUGCUUUAUUCCUAACUCCAAUUGAGCUACAAUUUGGCUAGGUGAUUAACUAUUACAAAUCACCUCUGGAUACCAAAAAUAAGCUCAAUCCAUCUAUCCAAUAUUCCUUGGAAAUUUUUCAAGUUUCUGUUCAGAUUUGCUUGUCUAUGAAGGGAGUACCCUCAUGGAUGAUCAAAAUGAGCUGAAAAUUUUCCAUCAGUCUCUAAUGAUCAUAUUAUCACACUCCUCCAAGAUUCAUCUCAUUCCAUUGAACUAUGUGAGCACAGGAACAAUUCUUUGUUUCUGUCCACAUUUUGAGUUUGUGAAGCAAGUGUAUUUUAUCUUGCUCCAUUAUGGCUGAUAAUUUUCCCAGGCCUUAUCCUACCUAUAUAACCUAUCUCCACAAGAUUUGGGAUCAUUUCUGCUGGCCAAUUUCCCUGAGGAUUUUUCUGAAGUUUUUGGACAGAAAUGAUAGCUAUGAAGGAAGUACCAUUUUGGUGAGUCCAUUUGGUAUGAACUUUUUACAGCAUCAUGGUAUGUUCAAAUCAUCAGGCUUUGCCAAGAUUUAGCCUAAUCCAUCACUCCUAUUGUGUGCUUCAUCAUGAUUCAGUUUCUGGGUCAGUUUUGGUGGUUGUACAACAACUAUGGUAAAUAGUUGUCCAUUUUACGUCAAAACUCCCAGGACUGCAGUCCUUUCUACCCUAAGCCUCCCAGACAUCAAGUUUACCUUUUACCCUCUCUAGUUUACUCUCUAGAGUGUGGUAAAGUUUGUAGCAGUAAACUUGUGGAGCUUGAUUUACUCAGCUCACUUUGUCUCUACCCCUCUCUUUACCAUGGUAAUACCCCACGCUGGAAGGACUACACGGUAGACAUGAUCUUACCUCAGUAAAAAAACCAAAGUGCACCAUGCCAGUGGUGACUAUGAGGGCAGCCAGCCAAAACGGUGGUCUAGCCACUGUUCUCGUCGGCAGCGCUGCUCCGGCCAUCUCUGACCUCGCCAUUAAUGCCCAACAGCUCCCCCUCGACGUCGUCUUCCCUCUGGACCUCUGCCCCCUUCGUUUUCUUCUCCGGCGAGCCGUGCCAACGCUCGAGCAGUGCGUGCCCAUGAGCUCGUCCUCUUCCUCGCCGGUGUCCGCUUCCUCCUCUUGUCCUUGAGUCUUGCCCGACUCCGUGAGCCUCUGCUGCUCGUCCAUUUCCCCCUCGUCACCUUCCCGCUGCUCCCCGCAAGCUUUGGCUGCGCCUGCCGACGCUGCGCCCCAUGCCGGCGGACGGACACAUCGCCUGCCGCGUGCUGAUACAUCUCCGUCGUAUCUACUUUUCCAAACACUUUUGCCCAUGUUUUGGACUCUAACUUGUAUGAUCUUAAUGGAACUAACCCGGACUGACGCUGUUUUCAGCAGAAUUACCAUGAUGUUGUUUUAUUGCAGAAAACAAAUAUUCUCGGAAUGACCUGAAACUCGACGGGAGGUCCUAGAAAAAAUAAUAAAAAAUCCUCGCCAAAUAUGAAGACCAGGAGGCCCACACCCUUCUCACGAGGGGCACGCCCCCUAGGGCGCGCCCCUACCUCGUGGGCCCCCUGUUGACCCUCCGACACCAACUCCUACUCUAUAUAUUUGCUUUCGGAGAGAAAAAAUUAGAGAGAAGAAAUCAUCGCGUUUUACGUUAUGGAGCCGCCGCCAAGCGCUAAAACCUCUUGGGAGGGCUGAUCUGGAGUCCGUUCGGGGCUCCAGAGAGGGGGAUUCGUCGCCGUCGACAUCAUCAACCAUCCUCCAUCACCAAUUUCGUGAUGCUCACCGCCGUGCGUGAAUAAUUCCAUCGUAGGCUUGCUGGGCAGUGAUGGGUUGGAUGAGAUUUAUCAUGUAAUCGAGUUAGUUUUGUUAGGGUUUGAUCCCUAGUAUCCAUUAUGUUCUGAGAUUGAUGUUGCUAUGACUUUGCUAUGCUUAAUGCUUGUCACUAGGGCCCGAGUGCCAUGAUUUCAUAUCUGAACCAAUUAUGUUUUCAUCAAUAUAUGAGUGUUCUUGAUCCUAUCUUGCAAGUCUAUAGUCACCUACUAUGUGCUAUGAUCCGGCAACCCCGAAGUGAGAAUAAUCGGGACCACUCCCGGUGAUGACCAUAGUUUGAGGAGUUCAUGUAUUCACUAUGUGCUAAUGCUUUGUUCCGGUUCUCUAUUAAAAGGAGGCCUUAAUAUCCCUUAGUUUCCAAUAGGACCUCGCUGCCACGGGAGGGUAGGACAAAAGAUGUCAUGCAAGUUCUUUUCCAUAAGCACGUAUGACUAUAUAAAGAAUACAUGCCUACAUUACAUUGAUGAAUUGGAGCUAGUUCUGUGUCACCCUAUGUUAUGACUGUUACAUGAUGAACCGCAUCCAGCAUAAUUAUCCAUCACUGAUCCGGUGCCUACGAGUUUUCCAUAUACUGGUUUACGCUUAUUUACUUUUCCGUUGCUACCGUUACAAUCACUACAAAAUACCAAAAACAUUACUUUUGUUGUCUUUACUUUUGUUGCCGCUACCACCACUAUCAUAUUACUUUGCUACUAAACACUUUGCUGUAGAUACUAAGUUUCCAGGUGUGGUUGAAUUGACAACUCAGCUGCUAAUACUUGAGAAUAUUCUUUGGCUCCCCUUGUGUCGAAUCAAUAAAUUUGGGUUGAAUACUCUACCCUCGAAAGCUGUUGCGAUCCCCUAUACUUGUGGGUUAUCAAGACAAAUUUCUGGCGCCGUUGCCGGGGAGCAUAGCUCUAUUCUUUGAGUCACGUGGGAUUUAUAUCUGCUUAUCACUAUGAAGAACUUGAGAGAUCCAAAAACCAAGAUCUAUCCCUCAACUACGAGGGGAGGUAAGGAACUGCCAUCUAGCUCUGCACUUGAUUCACCUUCUGUUAUGAGUAAGUUUGCGACACCUACACCUGCUUCUGCUAUUCGUUCUGAUAUGUCACAUGUUAUUGAUGAUGCCACUUCUUCUAUGCAUGAUACUUAUGAUGAAACUGCUUCUAUGCCUGAUACUAUUGUUCCCCUUAGUGAAUUUCUUGAUAAACAAAUUGCUAGGGCUAGAGAAAAAGAAAUUAUUGAAUCUGAAUACAAUGAUGAGAGUGAUGAUGAAAAUAUGCAUGUUAUUCCUGAGGGUUAUCUUUUUGAUAUGGAAUCUUCUGCUGCUAUUUCUGCUUUCAAAGAUAGAUAUGAGCUUAAGAGGUUAUUAAUUAAAUGGAACAAAGAAUCACUUAGAGAUAGAAUGAGACCUGACCCUGCUUUUGCUACUUCACCUAUUUGUGUUCCUGAUAAAGACUAUGAAUUCUCUGUUGAUCCUGAUAUAAUUACUUUGGUUGAAUCUGAUCCGUUUUAUGGCUAUGAAUCUGAAACUGUUGUGGCACAUCUUACUAAGUUAAAUGAUAUAGCUGCCCUGUUCACUAAUGAUGAGAGAUCGCAUUACUUUUAUAUACUCAAAAUAUUUUCAUUCUCAUUAAAGGGUGAUGCUAAGAUAUGGUUUAAUUCUCUUGAUCCUGGUUGUGUGCGUAGUCCCCAGGAUAUGAUUUAUUACUUCUCUGCUAAAUAUUUCCCUGCUCAUAAGAAACAAGCUGCUUUGAGGGAAAUAUACAAUUUUGUGGAAAUUAAAGAAGAGAGUCUCCCACAAGCUUGGGAGAGGCUUCUCAAGCUACUUAAUGCUUUGCUUGAUCAUCCUCUUAAGAAACCUGAAAUGCUUGAUAUCUUUUAUAAUGGACUAACCGAUGCUUCUAGAGAUUACCUGGAUAGUUGUGCUGGUUCUCUUCUCAGGGAAAGAACAUCGGAUGAAGCUGAAAUUCUAUUGAAUAAUAUGUUGACAAAUGAAAAUAAUUGGGCACCUCCUGAGCCAGCUCCUGCUCCAAUUACUGAGCCUAUCCCUAAACCAACUCUGAAGAAGAGAGGUAUUUUAUUUCUCAGUCCCGAAGAUAUGCAAGAGGCAAAGAAAUCUAUGAAAGAAAAAUGUAUUAAAGCUGAAGACGUUAAGAAUUUACCUCCUAUUGAAGAAAUACAUGGUCUUAAUUCACCGCCUGUUGAAGAAACAUAUGAUCUCAAUUAUUUAUUCACUGAAGAACCUCCUGAUCCCGAUAUCCCGACACAGGUAGUAAAGAUAAAUUCUCUCUAUAGAUAUGAUAAAGCUGAAGUCCCUCCUACUAAAAUUGCUAGUCAAUGCUUGGAUGAGUUUGAUAACUUUACGUAUAAGCAAGAUGACUUCAAUGCUUAUUUUGGUAGACAAUUAAAAGAAAAUGCUUAUAUGAUUAGACGUUUGGGUGAUUAUAUGGCUGAUAUUAAAGGUGAACUUAAACUUGUUAGCAAACAUGCUUCUAUGGUUACCACCCAAGUAGAACAAGUACUUAAGGCUCAAAAAGAAGUGCUUAAUGAAUUGAAUAGUAAGAAAAAUGAUUAUGCUGUUAAAGUGGCUACUAGAACUGGAAGAAUGACUCAGGAACCUUUGUAUCCUGAAGGCCACCCUAAGAGAAUCGAGCAAGAUUCUCAAAGAAAUAAUAUUGACGUUCCUAGUUCUUUUAAAAAGAAGAAGAAGAAAAAUGAUAGAACUGUGCAAACUUCUAGUGAACCUAUUGCUGAACCACCUGAUAAUCCAAAUGAUAUAUCUAUGUCUGAUGCUGAAACACAAUCUGGUAAUGAACAUGAACCUAGUAAAAAUAUUAAUGAUGAUGUUCCUGAUGAUGCUCAACCUAGUAAUGACGAUGAUGUAGAAAUUGAAUCUGCUGUUGAUCUUGAUAACCCACAAUCAAAGAAUCAACAUUAUGAUAAAAGAGACUUUGUUGCUAGGAAACAUGGUAAAGAAAGGGAACCUUGGGUUCAGAAACCCAUGCCUUUUCCUCCAAAACCAUCCAAGAAAAAGGAUGAUGAGGAUUUUGAGCGCUUUGCUGAAAUGAUUAGGCCUAUCUUUUUACAUAUGAGAUUAACUGAUGUGCUCAAAACAAAUCCUUAUGCUAAAUAUAUGAAAGAUAUCAUUACUAAUAAAAGAAAGAUACUGAAAGUUGAAAUUUCCACCAUGCUUGCUAAUUAUACUUUUAAGGGUGGAAUACCAAAGAAACUUGGAGACCCCGGAGUACCUACUAUACCUUGCUCCAUUAAAAGAAACUAUGUUAAAACUGCUUUAUGUGAUCUUGGAGCCGGUGUUAGUGUUAUGCCUCUCUCUUUAUAUCGUAGACUUGACUUGAAUAAGCUGACACCUACUGAAAUAUCUUUGCAAAUGGCUGAUAAAUCAACUGCUAUACCUGUCGGUAUUUGUGAGGAUGUGCCCGUGUGGUUGCAAACGUUACUAUUUUAACAGAAUUUGUUAUUCUUGAUAUUCCCGAGGAUGAUAGUAUGUCUAUUAUUCUUGGAAGACCUUUUCUUAAUACUGCAGGGGUUGUUAUUGAUUGCAACAAAGGCAAUGCCACUUUUCAUGUUAAUGGUAAUGAGCAUACGGUACACUUUCCAGGGAAAAAACCUCAAGUUCAUAGUAUCAAUUCUAUUGGAAAAAUUCCAUCGAUUAUAAUUGAGGUUUUGAAUUUCCUCUUCCUACUGUCAAAAAGAAAUAUGAUAUUCUUAUUAUUGGGGAUGUGUAUAUCCCCGUUGAGGUAACUUAGUGUUAUUCGAAAUUUCUCCGGUUUCAUGAUUAUCGGAAUGAGUUUGUUAACAAGACUUGAUCAACCUUGUUAGUGGAUUCUUUUUGAUGAGCAUGAGAUGGAUGAAACUAGAAGCACAACCUUCUGUACCCUCUCUAUACUUUCUGUUAUUUAUAUUAAAUAAAGUAAAAAUAGUAUUUUUCUAUCUGUUUCCUCACUUAUCCGUGCAAUAUAAAAAUAUCCCGAAAAUAAAAGUCCUCAGAAUGCCAUGCCAAUUUAAUAUGAUUUUUUCGGGAAUAUUUGAGGAUUUACUGUGCAAAAAUUACCGCGGGAGGAGCUGCCACCUGGCCACGAGGGUGGUAGGCGCGCCCCCCCUAUAGGGCGCGCCCCCUGCCUCAUGGGCCCAUGGUGGCCCUCCUCCACUUAUCCCAGCACCCAUCUUCUUCCUCUGUCUCACACAAACUCGAAAAACCAACUCAAGCACGAGGUCCAGCCACUUUUGCUAUGAUUUUCGAUCUCCUUGCUCAAAGCACCUCUCGCAAAACUGCUUGGGGAGAUUGUUCCUUGGUAUGUGACCCCUCCAUUAGUCCAAUUAGUUUUUGUUCUAGUGCUUUAUUCUUUGCAAAUUUGUGCUACAAAGGUGACCAUGUUCUUGAGCUUGCAUGUCAAAUUUAUAUGGUUCCAAGUAGUUCUAAUGCUUGAUAUAGGCUCUAGGCACUUGUAGGAGUAGUUACUAUCAGUUUUAUUGAGUUUGGUUUACUUUUAUUUUUGAAGUUACUAAAAAUUUCAGAUUGUUUCAGAAAAAUGAUGAGGAGAUUAUUGAGGGGCUCAUCAAGCCAAAGCUCAAAGGAAAAGGCACCUAAGCCUAAGUAUAAUUUGCCACGCACCACGGAGAUUCGGGCGUGUGAAUGGCCUUGUGAAGAUUUCUUGAGAGCAGCCGGUAUCUAUGAAGAUUUUCAUGAAUUGGCUCACAAUGCAGGCCUCACCGCUUUCCUCCACGACCAAUGCAAUCAGUAUCUCUUACUCACAAAUACCUUUGUGCAAAAAUUUUAUUUUCAUCCUAGGAACUCACCACCUACGGUGGAAUUUCAUUUAUAUGAUGAGCCUAAGGAGAUGUCACUUUUUGAUUUCUGUCGGAUUUGUUUAGUCCCUUUUGAGGGCAAGACAGAAGAACCACAUCAUGAUGAUGUGGCUAGGUUUAUUGAUAAUAUCACGGUAGGAGAAACCAGGAAGGUUUCCGAUGCACGAAUCACUAGCAUACAUUUUCCUAUUUUGCGUUACUUUGCAUUAUUUGCUAGUCGUUGUUUAAUUGGACGCAGAAAUUCUGGAAACCUUAGUAUCCCUGAUUUAAUUAUUCUGCUCCAAGGUUUAUAUAGUGAUAACACUUUUAGUUUGGGCGGUAUUAUUGCUAGAUGGUUAAAUAUGAACCGUACUAAGGGCCCCAUCUUUGGAGGCAUUUAUGCCACACGCCUAGCAGCACAUUUUAACAUACCUAUUAGGCAUGCCGAGAAGGAAGAAAAAGUGCUACCCCGUGUUUAUCUAGAUCAUAAAAGUAUGGUGGCACAUGAUUUUAUUGUUAAAAAUAGGGCAGGGGAGCUUAGAUAUCAAUUGUAAUUUAAUAAACAUCAUCCUGAGACUAUUACCUUGCCUGCUCCUUCUUUGUUUGAUUUGACUGCAGGCACAUACCUUGUUCCGUUGGCAGCUAUUCACGCCUAGCGGAACCCUGCACCAGCUGAGGAGCCAGAGCCGGAAUCACAAUUUGAUCCUUCACGACAGUCUAACUAUUAGUGGGAUCCGGAGAUGAUUGCCAGCCAGUGGAAAUCGGAGCCUUCUUCUUCUUCAUCACAGUACGACCCCAACAACUAUUAUUAUGGAUAUCCGCCAGGCCAGCUGUGGCCAUAGACCAACUUAGGCCAAAAGCCUAAGCUUGUGGGAGUACGUAUUUCUCACCGACAUUACAUUUAUGUUCACACACACUCAUUGCUAGAUGUCGGUGCUCAUACUUUUUCAUUGUAUCAUCCAUACUAGUUUAUUUUCUUUUUCCUGUUUUCUUCUCGUGUGUUUAGUAAACCUUAAGAAAAACCAAAAAAAUAAAAAAAUUAGUAGUUUAUUUUUCUGCUGUAGUAGUAAUAACUAAAAAGAAAACCCAAAAAUAUUUCCCGUUCUUCUUUUGCUUGUUGGGAGCUCUCCCAUGUAAAUAGUUUUAUUUCUUUUCUUUUAUUUGGGGGUCAGUAGGAGAAGACCAUAAUUAAAUUGUUGAAGUGGCUCUUUUAUGCAUUAUUGUUGAUUUAACCAAGAGGCCAUAUUGCUUUGUCUUCUCCUGUUUAUUGAAUGCUCGCAGAUUCCAGCUUAGUCCAAUGCACGUGCACUCUUAUUAUUAUUCAUACCGUUUGGUCAUGCAAGUGAAAGGCAAUUAUGAUGAUAUAUGAUGGACUGACUGAGAUGAGAAAAGCUGGUAUGAACUCGACCUCUUUUGUUUUUGUAAAUAUGAUGAGUCCUGCGUUCUUGAUUCGACUUAUUAUGAAUAAACAUGUUUGCAAUGACAAUUAGAGAUCAUAGUUGCUUGUGCCAUGCUUGAUUAGCUCUGAGUUAUAAUGAUUUACCUUGUAUGCCAACAUGCUAUUGAGAUGAUUAUGAUGUGGUAUGAUGGGGUGGUAUCCUCCUUUGAAUGAUUUAAGUGACUUGACUUGGCACAUGUUCACGCAUGUAGUUGAAACAAAAUCAACAUAGCCUUCACGAUAUUUAUGUUCAUGGUGGAUUAUAUCCUACUCAUGCUUGCAUCCAAUGUUUAUUAAUUUUAAUGCAUGUACAUGGCUGUUGUCGCUCUCUAGUUGGCCGCUUCCCAGUCUUUUGCUAGCCUUCACUUGUACUAAGCGGGAAUACUGCUUGUGCAUCCAAAACCCUUAAACCCCAAAGUUAUUCCAGAUGAGUCCACUAUACCUUCCUAUAUGCGGUAUCUACAUGCCGUUCCAAGUAAAUUUGUAUGUGCCAAACUCUAAACCUUCAAAUAAACAUUCUGUUUUGUAUGCUCGAAUAGCUCAUGUAUCAACAAAGGCUGUCCUUAUCUUCCGUGUUAGGCGGGUUAUUCUCAAGAGGAGUGGACUCCGCACCUCACUCACGAGAAAAUGGCUGGUCACUGGGAUGCCCAGUCCCAUGCUUUAUGCAAACUAAAUCAAAAUUAAUUGCAAAAAAAACUCCCCCUGGGACCUGAUGUAUGUUGGAGGCACUCGUUGUUUCGAGCAAGCCAUGGAUUGAUGCUUGUUGGUGGAGGGGGAGUAUAAACUUUACCAUUCUCUUAGUUGUUACGUUGACAAUGAAAGUAUACCGCUCAAAAUACAAUUUAUCUCUAUUUCAAAACCGAGCUCUGGCACCUCUACAAAUCCCUGCUUCCCUCUGCGAAGGGCCUAUCCAUUUACUUUUAUGCUGAGUCAUCACCCUCUUAUUAAAAAGCACUAGCUGGAGAGCACAUCCGUCAUUUGCAUUCAUCACUAUUAAUCUAUGUUGGGUAUGACUAUGAUUGGAUCUCUUUUACCAUGAAUUACAAUGUCUAGUCAGUCCUUGAUCUUUAAAGGUGCUCUGCAUUUAUGUUUUGCAGUCUCAGAAAGGGCUAGCGAGAUACCAUCUUGUUAUAUCAUAUUAUGAUUGUUUUGAGAAAGUGUUGUCAUCGAGAUUUAUUAUUGUGACUUGCUAGUUGAUUAUGCUAUUGAUAUGAGUAAUUGUGAGACCUGAGAAUUAUUGAAAAUGUGGUUAGUUAUGAUCUAUGAUGAAAACUUGAAUGCUGGCUUGACAUAGUUACAACAACAAGAGCAAACAAAGUUUGUAAAAGUUUUUCUUUCUUUCUUUCAGUUUGUCAACUGAAUUGCAUGAGGACAAGCAAGGGUUUAAGCUUGGGGGAGUUGAUACAUCUCCAUCGUAUCUACUUUUCCAAACACUUUUGCCCUUAUUUGGACUCUAACUUGUAUGAUUUAAAUGGAACUAACCCGGACUGAUGCUAUUUUCUGCAGAAGUACCAUGAUGUUGUUUUAUGUGCAGAAAACAAAUAUUCUCGGAAUGACCUGAAACUCCACGGGAGGUCUUAGAAAAAAUAAUAAAAAAUCCUCGCCAAAUAUGAAGACCAGGGGGCCCACACCCUUCUCACGAGGGUGGGGGGCGCGCCCCCCUAGGGCGCGCCCCUACCUCGUGGGCCCCCUGUCGACCCUCCGACACCAACUCCAACUCUAUAUAUUUGCUUUUGGAGAGAAAAAAAACAGAGAGAAGAAAUCAUCGCGUUUUACAAUACGGAGCCACCGCCAAGCCCUAAAACCUCUCGGGAGGGGUGAUCUGGAGUCCGUUCGGGGCUCCGGAGAGGGGGAUUCGUCGCCGCCGACAUCAUCAACCAUUCUCCAUCACCAAUUUCAUGAUGCUCACCGCUGUGCGUGAGUAAUUCCAUCGUAGGCUUGCUAGACGGUGAUGGGUUGGAUGAGAUUUAUCAUGUAAUCGAGUUAGUUUUGUUAGGGUUUGAUCCCUAGUAUCCAUUAUGUUCUGAGAUUGAUGUUGCUAUGACUUUGCUAUGCUUAAUGCUUGUCACUAGGGCCCGAGUGCCAUGAUUUCAUAUCUGAACCAAUUAUGUUUUCAUCAAUAUAUGAGUGUUCUUGAUCCUAUCUUGCAAGUCUAUAGUCACCUACUAUGUGUUAUAAUCUGGCAACCCCGAAGUGACAAUAAUCGGGACCACUCCCGGUGAUGACCAUAGUUUGAGGAGUUCAUGUAUUCACUAUGUGCUAAUGCUUUGUUCCGGUUCUCUAUUAAAAGGAGGCCUUAAUAUCCCUUUGUUUCCAAUAGGACCCCGCUGCCACGGGAGGGUAGGACAAAAGAUGUCAUGCAAGUUCGUUUCCAUAAGCACGUAUGACUAUAUACGGAAUACAUGCCUACAUUACAUUAAUGAAUUGGAGCUAGUUCUGUGUCACCCUAUGUUAUGACUGUUACAUGAUGAACCGCAUCCAACAUAAUUAUCCAUCACUUAUCCGGUGCCUACGAGUUUUCCAUAUAAUGAUUUACACUUAUUUACUUUUCCGUUGCUACUGUUACAAUCACUACAAAAUACCAAAAACCUUACUUUUGCUGUCUUUACUUUUGUUGCCGCUACCACCACUAUCAUAUUACUUUGCUACUAAACACUUUGCUACAGAUACUAAGUUUCCAAGUGUGGUUGAAUUGACAACUCAGCUUCUAACACUUGAGAAUAUUCUUUGGCUCCCCUUGUGUCGAAUCAAUAAAUUUGGGUUGAAUACUCUACCCUCGAAAGCUGUUGCGAUCCCCUAUACAUGUGGGUUAUCACGUGCCACCUCCUCCCCUCCUUCCCGAGCCCUCCCAGCGGCUAUAAAUAGAGCCACGAGCUCUCUCACAGUCCACCAUCCCUCCCCAAGCAUCUCCCCGAGCCCGAAGCCCCUCUCUGGCCCCCUCCCCAUAGCCAUGGCUGCCGCCCCGACCUUCUUUGAUUCCGGCGAUGCCGCUCCCCUCUCGCCGUUCCACCUCCACCAUUGCCCUCCCUAGGGUCCGGUGAGCCUCCCCGUUGCCUUGCCCACCCAUUCCCCCACUAGAGCUCCCUGUUCGCCGGAGGCCGAAGCCCUGCUCCGCCGCCCACUUUGCUGCUCCUUCCCUGGUGCCCCUCGACGGCAGCUGACAACACCACGGGAUGCGCCUCUCGCUCCUCAACCCGUGGGUAGGUCGGCCGUCGCGAGCGGUGGCCGGACGCGCCGGCUAUCGCCGUCGAGGCGAGCCCCUCCCUCUGCCCGGCGCGCGCGUGAGCGGGAGGUUGAAGACGCCAGGGCCAGGCGGGCCCCUCCUCACGUGGCCCCACCGGUCGGCGAGAGAAGGGCGUGGCCCAGUCUGCCACGUUGGAUAAGUGGCGGCGCCCCGCCACGAAGUCGCUUUCCCCGCGCGAAAGCGCCUUUCGCGAAAGUACGCUUUCAACCUUAGAAAGUGUAUUCUUCCUCUGCUUCGGCCGAGAAUACAUUUCCCUUUCUGUAAAACGUAUUUUUAGAGAAGACACGUUCUGUUUAAACUACCAGGGACCUGUUUGUAGAAGUAUUUUUACAAACUAGUCCCCGAGCUUUAAAUGUCCGUAUCUUUUUACCCGUAACUCCGAAUCAGGUGAAUCCAAAGCCCACGUCUUCGUUUCGUCGAACUCUUUCCGUUGGUAUCAUUUUCAUUAUGUUUUCACACAGUGAAAAUGACCAUUUUGCCCUUGACCGUAAACAGCCUCCUCCGAGAGAGAACUGUUUCCGGCAAAUCUUUCCGCGAUCGUUUCCCACUUCUUCCCGGAGUAUUUGUCGACCCCCCAGGCAAGCCAACCUCUUAUCAUGAGCCCCGAACUUGCAUGUUGACUUUUCUUGCACCUUGUGCGUGUGUAGUUGAAGUUGUUUCAUACCGUUUUCAUCUGCAAUUAUUCCAUUAUGCUGUCUUGCAUGCUUGUGUUUUCAUGAUAUCUUUUGCCAUGCUAAUUAGAAUGUUAUUAUUAAUAAUGCCAUUUUACUACUCUACUUUACUUACAUGUCAUCAUUAUAAAAUGAUAUGAGGAUUGUAAUGCACCAUUGAUAUGCUAUUGUCAUGUUCUUUAUGUUAUAGUUGUGCACUUGAGGAGUUCGAUAUUUUGCCAUGCAUUUGUAUGCUGCAUGCUCAUU